rnacentral:ribozyme from 1 species
AAGAAAAAACAAAAAAAAAAAAAAAAAAAAAGAGGCGUUCACCAAAUCAACCAAGAUCCCUAAUCAAACGUUUUGGUUCCGUUCACUCUUUAU